rnacentral:lncRNA from 1 species
UGCUAGUGAGAUGUAAAGUCAAGGUGGAGUAGUGUUCAUUCAAGGUUGUGAACGUCCCAGAGUCAGACUCUGGCAUCAUUUCAAUCUUUUGUAAAGCCUAUGGUAUGAAUAUCUCUGGGUCUUGAAGACAGAAUGGAAAUAAAUGCCUAAAUUUCUAAGGCAGGGAUAUUAGAGAGCAGUCAUAUUUGACAGUUAGGAUUACUAUGACUAUGAUGAAACACCAUGACUAAGAAACUUGAAGAGGUAAGAGUGUAUUUGCCCUCUGUAUCCUGAAUCACAGCCCGUUGAGGGAAGCCAAGGCAGGAACUCAAGUGAACAAGAAUGUGGAGGCAGGAGCUGAUGCAGAGACACGCCAUGAAGGAGUGCUGCUUACUGGCUUGUUCCUCAUGGCCUGCUCAGCCUGCUUCCUUUUAUUUUUCCCCCUUUUAUUAAAAAUAGAUUUAUUUUUCAUAUAAUCUAUCCUGAUAACAGUCACCCCGCCCUCUACUCCUCCCAGAUCCUCCCCACUUUCCCCCUCAUCUGAAGCCACUCCCUUUCUGUCUCUCAGUAGAAAACAUAUAGGCUUCUCAAGGAAUAAUAAUAUAAUAAUAUAAAACAAGAACUAACACAUCAAAAUUUUAAAAAAAAAACAAAACAGACAGACAGAAAGAAAAGAGCCCCCAAAAGGAGAAAAAAAAAAACCUAAAAAUUCAGAGACCCAUUUAUUCGAACACUAAACCCGAAGCCAUGAUAUAUAUGCAAAGGAUCAGUACGGUAAAAAGAGAGAAAAUAUAAAUAAAAUGAAAUACAAAUUUUUAAAAAUUAAGUGGUGAGGGCACUGUUGCUAUAGAGACAAGGAACUUCCAGAAAACUCAGUGCUAUUGAGGUUUUUGUUUUGCUUUUGUUUUCUGUUGCUCAUCUACUGCCAGGCUUGCAGCAUAUCCUUAAGAGAAGUUUGUUUCCCUCAAUGAAACUCCCUUGAAAAAACAAAAUUUUCAUUUUCAGCCUGCUCUUUUUAUAGCAUCCAGUACCAAGUCAGGGGGUGGCACCACCUACAAUGGGCUGGGCCUUGUGCAGGAAAUAUUAAAAAAGAACUGGCUCGUUCCCGAGAUUGUGCCUGCAACUCUGCCCUGUAGGGCUGACCAGCCAUCCCCCCUGGGCCCUCUCUCACCUCCCCCUCCUCUUCUUCCGUCCAGCCCGGAAGUCUCCCCUACUUACCCAGUGAUUUUCUCCUUUACUCAUUAGGGGAUAGGUGACAAGAAGUCACCAGUAUACAAGACUCCAUUCUCCCUGGAGAGUGGAAUUAGCAUCAAAAUACAAGCAACCCCUGGGCUAUCCACCACCGGGCACUUCUAUAUCUAUUAAGGAAAUGCCCUACAGGCUUGCCUAUAAUCUGAUUUUAGGAAGGCAUUUUCUCAGUUGGGAUUCCCUCCUCUCAGAUGACUGGCUUCUGUCAAGUUGACAUACAGCUAACAAGUACAGCACUGAAUGCAGCCGAAGUAACUUGUUAAACUGAACUGUGAGAAUGAAAAAAACUAUUGAUAAUGUGGUGAAGUGAUAGUUUGUAAUCUGUGCUGAAGAAAUUGGUAUAUUUUCAAAAUUUAACAUUAAUACUUUGAUAAGGGAAGAAUAUUUGGAAAAUUCAUUGUUUCCAAUAAUUCUUUUUUAUAAGGCUAAUUUUAUAUAAUAACCAUGUUUGCCUAGGCCUCAGUAAUAAGAAUAUUUGAUUUAUGUAAGAAAGAACUUGUCUCCCAGGCAUUUCUAAACCUUUAAGGGUAAGAAUUGUCUGCCUUGUCUGUUUUUGUAGUCUCAGCAUAAACGAUGCCAGUAUAGAGAUAAACAACGAAUAUUUAUUGAAUGAAUAUAGACUCAAUAAAUGAAGCAUAUUGAGAAAGGCACCCUUAUUAAUUAGCCUCUUGAUAUGAAAACUAAACAGAAAGAUUUGAAUUGAUUUGAUGGUAACUCUCUAUUCUGUUCGUGACAGUUCUAGACUACGAAAUUGUCAAAGGGGAAUUUUUCCAGAGUUCAGGCUCCUUACCUCAGUACUUUCACUAUAUUUUCUCCUUUCAAAAGUUGUUC